GCGCCGAGCACUCGAUCGCAAAGCAGGGGCAAGCUUUCCCUCACUUUGCGGCAUUCCAUUUCUGAAGAAAAGAGCCGAAGUGUGGCAACGCGUCGCGCCUCUCCCCAAAAGCUAACCCGGGACUCCCAAGGGAAGUUUUAAAACCUUAAACUGUAUAUUGCUUCAUUUUACCGUACUGUGAAUACCACAAUGGCACCAGAUCCUCCAUCUGAUCGUGAAGCUAAGCUGGAUCAACUCUGGAUGAACCUGCUGGGAGAACUCAUCCGGAGUUUUGGAGUACAUUGCCAUCUAAAUGCGGAUGACAUCCAACUCUACUAUUCCUUCCCCCCCAAAGCCAAGGAAGCUGUCCUGACCCUAAACCAGUGUCUGUUAUCAGAAAUGGACUGGAUGAGGGCAAACAAAUUGAAACUUAAUCCAGACAAGACAGAGGUACUCCUAGUCAGUUGGAAGGCAGAUCAAGGACUAGAGAGCCAGCAUGUGAUGGAUGGGGACACACACACCCCUGAAGACACAGGUCCGCAGUUUAAGGGUCCUCCUGGACUUGGCACUGAACCUGGAGCCCAGGUAUCGGUGUUGGCCAGGAAAGUCAUUGCACAAUUAAAAUGUGCUCCAACUGCUCCUGUUCCUUGAGAAGCCAGAUCUGGCCACGGUGGUACAUGCCUCAGUUACUAUAACAUGCUCUACAUGGGGCUGCCUCUGAAGAGUGCUUGGAAACUUCAACUGGUCCAAAGAGCUGCAGUCAGGUUGCUAAUUGGGGCUGGCUACAGAGAGCGGACAACCCUAUUGCAGCAGCUCCACUGGCUGCCAGUCUGUUUCCGGGCACAAUUCAAAGUACUAGUGAUGACCUUUAAACCCCUAUGUGGUUCAGGUCCAGGCUAUUUGCUGACUGCAUCCCCUUAUGCAAACCUGCCUGGGCCCUGAGAUCUUCAGGAGAGACCCUUCUCUCAGUCCCACCUAAAGCACGGUUGGUGGGGACAAGAAAGAGGACCUUCUCAGUGGCUGCCCCACAACUCUGGAACUCUCUGCCCAGGGAAGCCAGAAUGCCCCUCUCCCUGCUGUCCUUCUGGCAGCAGGCUACAACCUUCUUAUUAAGACAGGCUUUUAAAGAAGAAGGUUUUUAAAAUCAAAUCAGGGGAUGCUGUAGCUUUUAGCUUUGAAUAUGUUUAAAUGGGUUUUAACUGUGAAUUGUUAAUACUGUUAGGUUUAAUUCUGUUUUAAUGUUUGCAUACUACUGUGUUUUAAAUUAUGUGGUCAUACUUUUAAUGUAAGUCACUUUGAGUCUCCUUCAAGAGAGAUAAAGAAGGCCAUAAACACAAUAACAAUAAUAACAACUCCUUUUUUUCCACCUUAUUAACUCAUGCCCUCUUUGUUUUCAUCUAUAUUCCCGAAACCACAGAUGGAUUUCCAAAUGUUGUUGGACUUGCAGCAUAGCCAAUGGUUAAGACUACUAUGAGUGGCAGUCUAAUAACUGAAGGGCCACAUGUUUCCCAUCCGUUGUAAACCAUGCACAAACCUAUCCCAAGGCCAUAUGUUUCUAGAUAAUGAACAAUCCUGACACAGGAAGCACAACUGUGAAAUGAAUGCAGUAGAAUCAUUCAACUGAGAACUGCUGCCAAGAAAACUGAGGGAGAGGAGAGUUUCAACAACAUAUUCCACAUACCUUCAAAAUCUACUCUGGAAAGCUGGGAUUUCAUCUAAUGCAUAGGUCAGCCACAUACAGCCGCACAUGAUUUUGACCCCUUCCAACUAAAAAAUGGAAAACUGCAGUAUAUUCCAGAAGACAGGCUCUGCCUUUGUAUCAACCUCACCAAUCUUUAUUUUUAACCAUAAAAAAUAGUUUCCCUAAAACUAGAAGAGAACAUUCCCCAAUACAAGUCUACAACAUCAAAUUAACACACUGAGUGAGAACAUGGGUGAGACCCUUGUCUACUAGAGCACUUGGUUAUCAAAUGUAAUCUCUGGAGAGACCCAAUGAAGGCAAUUCUGGUGAAACCAGUGCAAAAUAAACACAUGACUUUUUGCUAG